rfam:Camelus ferus unplaced genomic scaffold scaffold98152, whole genome shotgun sequence.
GAGGGUAGAGCUCAGUGGUAGAGCAUGUGCUUAGCAUGCAUCCGGUCAUGGGUUCAAUCCCCAAGACCUCCA